GGGGAAGUAAGAAACCACAAUAGGAGCACCAGAUGACUUUGAUUUGCUCUUGGGUUUCUCUAUGUUGGGCUCUUUCGUGCUGGAGACUUGUACUGCAUCAUCUGCAACUCGGGAUGAUGAAGGAACAAAGCAACUAAAAAUAGCUGACAAGUGAACCAUUUUCUUGGUUUGGAGGAGCUGCGGAAUUAGCUUAGAGAGGGAGGUUUUCUUGAGCUGAAGAAAGAGAGAAAUUUAAUGGGAGAU
rnacentral:misc_RNA from 1 species